GUCAGGAUGGCCGAGUGGUCUAAGGCGCUGCGUUCAGGUUGCAGUCCACUUCUUGUGGGCAUGGGUUCGAAUCCCACUUCUGACA
rnacentral:tRNA from 1 species